GCUCAGACGGUCACCUGGUACUGUGUCUUAAAAAUGUGAUGAGCACCACCUGUCUCCAACUCAUCUGAAAGCCUCUUUUCCCUUUCCUAAAGUUGAGUCCACUGAAACCAAUUCACUCAUCGGACAUUACUUUGAAGGUGACAUCCGGUCGACAUGCAAGGCUCCGGCUACCUAGAUCAUCAACUGCUGAGGAACCUUUUGCCCAGAAGAUGCAGUUUGAGCCUCAUCUUGCUUUGUUUACAAGGUUUAUGUCUCCCUUGUGAAGAGCUGGGCUUAUAUUUGGAUUGCUUCAUAAAAGGUCCCAUUCAGACCACCUGCACAUGUGAUUGCAAUUUCCUUAUACAUCUCUAACUUCAGCCUAGAAAAACAGUUCUUUGAGUGGUAAACCUUCACCCGCUGUCAUUGUGAGUUGCAAAUAAGCGAUAGAAGCACAAACGGGAGAAAACAGCGAGAUGCUAAUAUAGUGAUGUGGCAGUAAUUGUGCAUUAGUGAAACUGAAAAGCAGCAGUGGGAGUUAGUGCAUUUAAAGUUAAUUUCAUUUUUCUUACUUUAUGUAAAACUGCAUCCCAGUCUUGAUGUGGAUGUCUCAGUGUUGUGUGUGUACGUGAUUUGGGCAUGUGUGGUUCAGUGUGUUAAACAGAGACAUGUGUCACCAGUAAAAGCUGUGGCGCUAUCAGGAGCAGAAGGAGGAAGUGAGGCGUGAAAACACAGCUGACACCUGGCUGACCUUUACUGAACUUUUCCAAGAAGUGACACCAGCUUCACCCGUACGCAACAAAGUUUGAGCACUCUAGCCUGGAGCGCUGAACCAGUGACAUGAUGUCCUGGGAGAGGACCGAGUGCAAUGCUUUCUCUCAGACCCUUGGUAUAUCAAUAGGAUUGAUGCUGAAUUGUUUUCCUUUUUCACUUCACAGCCAUAUCGUUAUAGUUUUGCAUGGUUCAACCCUGCUACUCUUCAUCUUUGAAAACAUCUACAUGAGCUAAUAGGGAAAAAAGGAAGCAGAAUAAGAUCAAAGGGCAAGAUGAAUCAGACAUAAAGGAUAAUAUGUGUAACUGGCACUAUCAGGAUGUCAUCGGAGGUGUUUUAUUUGUUCUUCCCAGUCAAACGUUAGCGACUAGCUUUAUUCAGAUGGUCAGUUGUUGUUUUUUUAAAAUUCCACAUGACAACCGCUGACCAGAAGCAAUGUCAGCAUCUGUGUGUGAGUCAUCAGUCAUGUCGAGACAGAUUGUCUUCAAGUCUGGACUUUUACUUCCUGACAGCACAGGCCAGAGGUGUUUUUUCCCCACCAGUAACAGGUGCACUAUCCCUAUGAAUUUGUUUUUUUGUUGCGUUUCACUCUUCAGAAACUGCAUUCUUCAGUAAAAGAAGGCUAUUAUUUAGUCUGCAAAUAGAAAUGGCAGCACUCUGUUUUUCUAAAGUAUAACCCUGUUUGCCGAAUGCAAAAUGACUUCCCUCAUGAUUUCACACAAAACGCUUUUUAAAUAAGUGGAAUUAUACAGAAAUUUUAAAAGCAAGAAAUGUUGCCAUGAUUUUUUUUUUCUGGUUCAUUUUGUUUUGGGUUUUUUUUUUUCAGUAGUGACAACCUGUCAAAGAGUCUAGCAUUCCUUGUAGGACUGGAUAAUUGCCUGACAUGGGAGGGUCAUCAACUCGUGUACACUCUCACCUGGGAGCUCCCGUCUAAAAAUGCUGGCCCACAGACGCACUUUGUAUUCUAUUCUCUGUGCCUGGCAUCAGCUAUUUGCAUUUGCAACUUCAAUAACUUACUACUUAGAUUCAUUACCAGGUCUUAUAUUAG